UUGGGAAUAUUGCGCAAUGGACGACAGUCUGACGCAGCGACGCCGCGUGAAGGAUGAAGGUUUUCGGAUCGUAAACUUCUUUUAUAGGGGAAGAUUGUGACUGUACCCUAUGAAUAAGGGCCUGCUAACUACGUGCCAGCAGCAGCGGUAAUACGUAGGGCCCGAGCGUUGUCCGGAUUUAUUGGGCGUAAAGAGUAUGUAGGUGGUCUUUUAAGUCGGGUUUUAAAGUCCCAGGCUCAACCUGGGUAUUGGACUCGAAACUAUUUGACUCGAGGUUAAUAGGGGUAAGCGGAAUUAGCGGUGUAGCAGUGAAAUGCGUUGAUAUCGCUAGGAACACCAAUGGCGAAGGCAGCUUACUAUAUUUUCUCUGACACUGAGAUACGAAAGCGUGGGGAGCGAACGGG
rnacentral:rRNA from 1 species